GACCAGAUGGCGUAGUGGUCAGCGCACCUUCCUACUAAGCAGGAGAUCAAGGUUCGAAUCCUGGUCUGGCACA